GUUGUGUAUUUCGAAUUACCAAAUAGGUAAUACCAACCGAGUGUAGUCACCACGGUGGUCAAACAAUACGGGAGCUAUCCAAAAUAAACGUUUUUU
rnacentral:ncRNA from 1 species